AGUUUUGCGCAGUAGCAGUAUCGUAGCCAACGAGAUUUAUCUGAGGCUCGAUUAUUGCUAAUUGAAAACUUUUCCCAAUAGUUUGGCUGGAUUUGGUUGCCCAGGUGCUUGCCAUGCAUGGCCUGUGCC
rnacentral:snRNA from 1 species